rnacentral:rRNA from 1 species
AUGCUGAUGAGGCUGCUGCUGGUGGUGGCUCUCGCCGUGGCGGCGGCGGCGGCGGAGCAGCGCGCCACGUACAUAGUUCACAUGGCCAAGUCUGCCAUGCCGGCCGAGUACGCCGACCACGGCGAGUGGUACGGCGCCUCCCUCCGCUCGGUGUCCACCGGUCGCGCCGCCGCUGCCAAGAUGCUUUACUCCUACGACACCGUCCUGCACGGCUUCUCAGCGCGGCUCACGGAGCAGGAGGCCAGCGACAUGGCGGGCAUGGACGGCGUCCUGGCCGUGAACCCCGAGACGCGGUACGAGCUGCACACCACGCGGACGCCUGAGUUCUUGGGGCUCGCCGGGAGCGAGGGCCUGUUCCCGCAGUCUGGCACGGGCGGCGACGUCGUCGUCGGGGUGCUCGACACCGGCGUCUGGCCUGAGAGCAAGAGCUACAACGACGCGGGCCUCGGCGAGGUGCCGUCGUCGUGGAAGGGCACGUGCAUGGCCGGCGCGGACUUCAACUCCUCGGCCUGCAACCGGAAGCUCGUCGGCGCGCGGUUCUUCAACCGGGGCUACGAGGCGGCCAUGGGGCCCAUGGACACGAGCAGGGAGUCGCGCUCCCCGCGCGACGACGACGGGCACGGGACGCACACGUCGUCCACCGCUGCCGGCGCAGCUGUCGCCGACGCUGACCUGUUCGGGUUCGCGUCUGGCACGGCGCGCGGCAUGGCGCCCAAGGCGCGCGUGGCCGUGUACAAGGUGUGCUGGCUCGGCGGCUGCUUCAGCUCCGACAUCCUCGCCGGCAUGGACGCCGCCGUCGCCGACGGCUGCGGCGUGCUCUCGCUCUCGCUCGGCGGUGGCUCCGCCGACUACGCGCGCGACAGCGUUGCCAUCGGCGCCUUCGCCGCGAUGGAGCAGAACGUCCUGGUGUCCUGCUCUGCCGGGAACGCCGGGCCCGGGAGCGCCACACUCUCCAACGUGGCGCCCUGGAUCACCACCGUGGGCGCGGGCACCCUCGACCGCGACUUCCCGGCGUACGUUCAACUCGGGAACGGCAAGAACUACACCGGCGUGUCCCUCUACGCUGGGAAGGCCCCGCCGUCCACCCCGACCACCCUCAUCUACGCGGGCAACGCCUCCAACUCCACCAGCGGAAACCUCUGCAUGCCAGGGACCCUCUCGCCGGAGAAGGUGCAAGGGAAGAUCGUGGUCUGCGACCGCGGCAUCAGCGCGCGCGUCCAGAAAGGCUUCGUGGUGCGCGACGCUGGAGGUGCCGGCAUGGUGCUCGCCAACACCGCAGCCAAUGGGCAGGAGCUCGUCGCCGAUGCCCACCUCCUCCCCGCGGCCGGCGUGGGUGAAAAAGAAGGCGCCGCGAUAAAGUCUUACAUAGCAUCCGAGUCCAAGCCGACGGCAACGAUUGUGGUCGCCGGGACACAGGUGGACGUGCGCCCCUCACCGUUGGUGGCUGCGUUCUCGUCGCGCGGGCCAAACAUGAUCACGCCGGAGAUCCUAAAGCCGGACAUCAUCGGGCCGGGGGUCAACAUCCUGGCGGCGUGGACCGGCAAGGCGGGGCCGACGGGUCUCGCCGCCGACACGCGCCGCGUCAACUUCAACAUCAUCUCCGGCACGUCCAUGUCGUGCCCGCACGUGAGCGGCCUCGCGGCGCUGCUCAGGAGCGCGCACCCGGAGUGGAGCCCCGCCGCCAUACGCUCGGCGCUCAUGACGACCGCCUACUCCACGUACACCGGCGGCGCCGGGGCGCCCAUCCUCGACGCGGCGACCGGCGCGGCCGCCACGCCGUUCGACUACGGCGCCGGGCACGUGGACCCGACCCGCGCGGUGGAGCCGGGGCUGGUGUACGACCUCGGCACCAGCGACUACGUGGACUUCCUGUGCGCGCUCAAGUACACGCCCAACAUGAUCGCCGCGCUGGCGCGGAGCAAGACCUACGGGUGCGCCGCGAACAAGACCUACGCCGUCUCCAACCUCAACUACCCGUCCUUCUCCGUGGCCUACUCCACGGCGAACGGCGAGGCCGGGGACUCCAGCGCCACCACGGUGACGCACACGCGCACGCUCACCAACGUGGGCGCGGCGGGCACGUACAAGGUGGACGCCUCGGUGUCCAUGUCCGGCGUGACCGUCGACGUGAAGCCGACGGAGCUGGAGUUCACGGCGGCCGGCGAGAAGAAGAGCUACACGGUGAGCUUCACGGCGGCCAAGUCGCAGCCGUCGGGCACCGCCGGCUUCGGCCGGCUCGUGUGGUCGGACGGUAAGCACAGCGUGGCGAGUCCGAUAGCGAUAACGUGGACAUGA